UCUGUCCUGGAGGAGAGGGGGAGGUGGGUAAACAGACUCCCUUAAAAGCCUAGGGAGUGCGCUCAGUCCUCUGCCUCUCUGCCGAGCUGUCUGCCUGUAACUUUGCUCUCUCUCUGUCCCUUCCAUUCUGAACCCCACGGCUGCCACAGCCUUUCCUCCAGUGACAGAAUCAAUAGUGACAGAAGCAAUGUUGAUAUUCAAUCUCUCUAAUAAUUAAAUAAAUGAAACUUUAAAAAAGUAUUCAUUUAUUUGAAAGGCAGUUCGAGAGAGAGAGAGAACUCUUCUACCCACUGGUUUAUUCCCUGAAUAGCUAGGGCUAGGCCAGACUGAAGCCAGGAGCCAGGAACUCCAUCUUGGUCUCCCAUAAGGGUGGCAGGGGCUCAAGCAAGUGGGCCAUCAUCAUUGUCUUCCCAGGUACAUCUGCAGGGAGCUCAGAUACUUAAUUCCCUGCUCCACAACCCUGGCCCCAAGAAAUAAACAAGUAACCAUGAGAAAAUCAGUCCGGCAAAGAAUAAAAUGAUGGCUAGUAACUCAUAGUAACUCCUGCAGGCCCCUGAAUGAGAGGCCCCGGGGCUCCGGGAUGCCCAGGUUCUAAAAAGCAAGUGCACCAGUCUCCCCCUUAGCGGGACAGGCUGCAACCUCACCAUCCCAGACAGCUCCCGCAGACUGCCAUCCCCUCCACGAUCCGCAUCUAUGAGGCUUCUCAGGUCUGCAGAAAAUCCCAGAAACAUCUCAGGAAAAUCCUUUUUGCCAGAAAGAGGCUUGGGCAAUGCGACUCUUGGCUCUCGCCUGGCAAUUCCCAGGCUCUGCGGCGGGCGGAGCUUGCAAUGCGUGCAUUAGGCCACCAGAGGGCGGCAGGCCUCAGGCUGGCGCGCACGAGCGAGGUACAGGGCUCUGGGCCUCAGCGCACCCAGGUGCGCAGCUCGGCAAGGGAGACAGCAACCCGAGCCAGGAGGGUUCCGGAGACCCCGACCAGGGGCUUCUGGAGGGGCGCCGCGGCGGAUCUAAAGGGGCCAUUCCGGGAUCCCCCCGUGGCUCCCGAACAGGGACCUGAAGCUCUUCAGGAAGUGGGAGCUAGUCAUAGCUUUCAUCAUCAAAACGCACCUGCCUUGAGAAAACCAUCUCAAAUUCCCCGGGAGACGGCGAGGGCUAUUGUGCGCAGUUGCCCAGCCUGUCCAGCACAUAUGCCAACUUGACCUAUAGGAGUGAAUCCCCGAGGACUAAGGCCCAGCGAUCUUUGGCAGAUGGAUGUCACUCACGUGCCCUCUCUUGGUAGACUCCGUGUGUGCACCUUUGUGUUGCUGCAUACUCUCAUGUUAUUAGAGCCAGCUAGGACGGGAGAGGCAUGUAAGGAUAUUAUACAACAUUUAUUUUACUGUUUUGCUUAUCUAGGUAUGCCUAAAACCUUAAAAACAGACAAUGCCCCGGCUUUUACUUCCGCUUCCUUUAAAAACUUUUGUGCAACUUUUCACAUCACUCAUUCUACAGGCAUUCCUUUUAAUCCUCAAGGCAAGCUACAGCUGGGAGAGCUCAUCAAAGAUUAAAAUCUCAAAUCCGUAAGCUACAGCAAAGAGAUUUAAAUAUAGUUCACCUCAUCAGCUACUUAAUCAUACUUUGUUAUUAAUCAUCUUAGUAAUGAUGCCAAAGAUAUUUCACCCAUGCUUUGCCAUCGGGAACCAGAAACAAUUCAUACUAGGCCCCUAGUCGUGUGGAAGGGUGUAUUAACCGGGAAAUGGAGAGGUCCAGAUGUUUUAUUGACAGAUGGGAGAGGCGACGCUUGUGUUUCCCCCAGAACACAGAUGCACCUGUGUGGAUCCCUGAACGUGUUAUUUGAUCUUAUGGCCCAAACACCACCGCUGUCCUUCACCACCCCCGGACAUGACCACGACCGAGGACUGAGGAUGACCCUGCUCAAUCCUUAACACCGCCUUCUCCAUGCGUGCCUGAGCCUUCCGUCGAUCAACCUGUCCAUCCACUUAACAGCUGGUGGCUUGCUCCACCACCCCGAUGAAGAGCACGUUCUACUAGACAAGCAACCCCCACCAAGUGGGGACAACUAAAGGCUUUAUCUCGUUCUGCUCACGCUCUUGUACGAGAGCAAGGAUUGCCACUUACCCCAGACAAUCUCUUUAUUGCAAUGCUUGUUAGCAUCUCUCUACAGGUAACAACAGUAAAUGGAGAAGGAAUAUAUUGGACUUCCGUGCCUGAUUCUCCUUUGUUUCAUCCUACUGUAUGGGCUCUACUGAUGUAAAGAUUUUUACAAAUAAUACGAAAUUGCUGGGGGCUGGGGAAGAUAAUGGUAUUUUUUAAAAAAAAAUUAUUUAUUUGAGAGGUAGAGUUACAGGCAAUGAGAGGGAAAGACAGAGAGACAGGUCUUCUGUCUGUUGGUUCACUCCCCAAAUGGCCACAAUGGCCGGAGCUGCGCCAAUUAGGAGCCAGGAGCCAGGGGCCAGGAGCGUCCUCCCGGCCUCCCAUGUGGGUGCAGAGGCCCAAGGACUUGUGUCAUCUUCUACUUCUUUCCCAGGCCACAGCAGAGAGCUGGAUUGGAAGAGGAGCAGCUGGGACUAGAACUGGAGCCUAUAUGGGAUGCUGGCGCCGCAGGCGGAGGAUUAACCUACUGCCCCACAGCACUGGCCCAGAUAAUGGCCUUUUCCUAAGAAAACAAAGCCCUCACCUUUCAUACACUGGUCACGCUGACGGUACCCUGUUGUGUUUUAGUACCAAAAGUGAAUUCCUUCAGGCUGCUUUGAAAUUAGCUGUCGCACUCUGUUGGCUGACUUCCCACAUCCUAACCCACAUAAACACAAUUUGUGGUCUCUUUCCUUUCUUGUUGUUGGAAAGCCUGACUUUGUAGAGAAAUUAAGUUCUCAUGUCCCUCCUUUAAAUUUAGCUAGUAAGUGCCAGAGACUAUUGUCUGGGGAAGAACAUGUUUGGGACCUAAUUGAUAAAAAGGUAGGAUUUCCUGCUGGGAGUGAUGUGUUUUCUAUCAUCAAAGUUAUGUUUAUUAUCCAAAGAAUUCCUAAUUCAUACCUCGCAAACAGGUAGAGUGACUAUUACCCCUGAUAAAGGACAUAGCUUCUUUGUUUCCUGUGAGGGUUGUAUGAUAACUAGUUGCAUAGAUUCGACUCUAGGAGCUGCUACUGUCCUUAUCACUCAUCAACCCGCUUAUGUUACGCUUCCUGUUCAUUUGAAUGUACCAUGAUCCGGGUUUAAAUGCUCUUCACUCUACAUCCACUUCUCUCUGGAGACCUAAGCUGCCUUGAUUGUAAGCAUAAUAACGUUAAUAGGAAUUUUAGCUUCUGUAGCUACUUCUGCUAUAGCCUUAACCCAGUAAAUUAAAACUGCCCAACGUGUAAACGAUCUUUCGCAUAAUUUGUCAAUAGCAUUGAUUCUGCAGGAACAGACAGAUGGAAAGUUAGCGGCUCGCAUCAGUGUUCUAGAGGAGGCUGUUCUGUUCAUUGGUAACCAGAUGUGAAAUCUCAAAACCAGGCUUACAGCUCAUUGUCGUGCUAAUUAUAAAUGGAUUUGUGUGACACCUUAUAAAUACGAUAAUGAAGCUCAUCCGUAAAAAAAGGUUCAAAAACACUUAUAGGACUUUGGAAUAAUACUGCCGUUGGCCUCGGUAUUCAAGACCUAAAGACACGAAUAAAAGGUACUAGUUUAACUGUGGUUCCUCAGGGACUGCCGCUGAAAUCGUGAGGCAGUUCACUUCUCGCGUUUCUCCUGAUGUACAUUCCCAAUCUGUAUUUCCUUUGUUAAUAAAUGUGGGAAUAAGCUUGCUAAUAGCUUUAUCUCUUCUUUUGAUAUUACCAGUCAUCUUCAGAUUGCUAGGAAGAGGCAUCAAGGAGACUCACCUGGAAUUAAUGGCUUUAAAAUUAAAAAAUAACAAAGGGGGAGAUGAGGAGGCCAAGGGAACUUUGGCUGUCUGAGGAGGUCACAGCAGGAGGUCUGUCUCCAGGGGAAGUGAGAGCCACAAGCUGCAGGCCUCUCGCUGGUUUUAGAUGUGUUGAUAAUUACAUUCUAUACCAGAAAGCCAGAGUUUCCAGGUGGUCUCGCUGAUGAUCGCUAUCUUCUUGGAAAUCUAAAAGAACAACCUCUGCUCAAAAUGACCUCACAGACGGUGGAGCUGUUUGAUGGAUUAAAGCCUCCUAGAGUAAUUCAACCCCUUCUGAUGCUGUUAUCUGUAGUAAAAGCCUAGAGGGAAUUCUAAGCUGUCAGGUGUAUGGUAUGCAGUUAGACCUGAUGCAGGUUAGGGAUAAGAGGGUCUUUGGGAAGGGUCUUCAGUCUCCUGCUAUAAUCCUCUUGAGAGUGUGUCUUGACAUGGGUGAACAACUUGUAAAUAAGUGUUAAUAAUUUAGGUGGCUGAGAAAAACACAAACAGUGGUAAAUGCCUUAGUACGUGCGGCCUGGUGGAAAGAACAUAAAGGAGUUACUGAAAUCAGUGAGCGAGUCUUAAAUGAGUUACUAAAACUAAAUAAUAGUGAAGGGUUAUGGAAAGGACAUGUGUGAUGAAUGGGUUUGUUUGAGCAGGGUGUUAUGGUUAAUAGUAAAGUUAAACCAAAAGGUGAAUGUUCCAAUCUUUGUAAUCAAUUGUUAUAAAACUAGAAGUAGAUGUUCCGAUUCUUUGCAAAAUAACCACUAUGUUUUUUUUGUAAUUGAUUAUUCUAUAAUUCAGAGCCAUUUUGAGUCUCUGUUCUAUUGUAUUUUAAAUAUCAAGUAAAUCUUUAAAAUCAAAGGAAUUGUUACACAGCUAUGGAAGUCGGGGUUAGGGAGGGGUUACACAUAGUACAAGGUCAAUGGUUUAAAGUGGAUGGAAAAUAGACUUUGUUAUUGUAAGGAAGAAUCAUUAACUCUGUAAGGAUCAUUAAUGAAUGGACAUUUGCAAAAUUUAUGAGAACAGUAGAGAAUGUGUAAAAUGAACAGCAGAUGUAA